CUUUUAUGGAGAGUUUGAUCCUGGCUCAGGACGAACGCUGGCGGCGUGCCUAAUACAUGCAAGUCGAGCGGAUGAUGAAG
rnacentral:rRNA from 1 species